AGCAGCCGCGGUAAUUCCAGCUCCAAUAGCGUAUAUUAAAGUUGUUGCAGUUAAAAAGCUCGUAGUUGAAUUUCGGGGUUAGUAGGUUGGUCAUGCCUCUGGUAUGUACUGGUCUCACUGAUUCCUCCUUCCUGAUGAGCCGUAAUGCCAUUAAUUUGGUGUUGCGGGGAAUUUGGACUGUUACUUUAGAAAAAAUUAGAGUGUUUAAAGCAAGCUAACGCUUGAAUACAUUAGCAUGGAAUAAUGAAAUAGGACGUUCGAUCCUAUUUUGUUGGUUUCUAGGAUUGACGUAAUGAUUAAUAGGGAUAGUUGGGGGCAUUAGUAUUCAAUUGUCAGAGGUGAAAUUCUUGGAUUUAUUGAAGACUAACUACUGCGAAAGCAUUUGUCAAGGAUGUUUUCAUUAAUCAAGAACGAAAGUUAGGGGAUCGAAGACGAUCAGGUACCGUCGUAGUCUUAACCAUAAACUAUGCCGACUAGGGAUCGGAUGAUGUUAAUUUUUAAUGACUCAUUCGGCGCCUUA
rnacentral:rRNA from 1 species